GAAAUGCGAUAAGUAGUGUGAAUUGCAGAAUUCAGUGAAUCAUCGAAUCUUUGAACGCACAUUGCGCCCCUUGGUAUUCCAUGGGGCAUGCCUGUUCGAGCGUCAUUUGUACCUUCAAGCUUUGCUUGGUGUUGGGUGUUUGUCUCGCCUCUGCGCGCAGACUCGCCUCAAAACAAUUGGCAGCUGGCGUAUUGAUUUCGGAGCGCAGUACAUCUCGCGCUUUGCACUCAUAACGACGACGUCCAAAAAGUACAUUUUUUACACUCUUGACCUCGGAUCAGGUAGGGAUACCCGCUGAACUUAAGC
rnacentral:misc_RNA from 1 species